GCACUCCACCAUCAUCUACGAGAGUCCCCAGCCUGAUACGCCCUUGCUCAGAUUGGCUUGGAAUAAGCAGGAUUUGAGGUACAUGGCUACUAUUUUGAUGGAUAGUAACAAAGUUGUGAUUUUGGAUAUUAGAUCACCAACCAUGCCUGUUGCGGAAUUGGAAAGGCACCGAGCGAGUGUUAAUGCCAUUGCUUGGGCUCCGCAGAGCUGUAGGCACAUUUGCUCUGCUGGAGAUGAUGCACAGGCCCUCAUUUGGGACUUGCCUACUGUUGCUGGGCCUAACGGGAUUGAUCCCAUGUCUAUGUACUCUGCUACUGCUGAAAUCAACCAGCUGCAAUGGUCAGCUGCACAGCCUGAUUGGAUUGCAAUUGCAUUUUCUAGUAAAAUGCAGCUUUUGAAAGUUUGAAUAGGCUAUAAUAUUUCCUUUUGAAUAGUGUAUUAGUUUUGAUGUCAAAUUGUAGUAUUGAAACUUUAGUAUUUUUCUGAUUAAAUAUUUGCUUGCUUUGGGUGAAUUUAGAUUCAUUCUUGUUGGCUUAAAUGCAUUGCUUACUCAAGUUUUAUAAUUUACAUGUAUAUUGAUUCUGGGUUUGAAUUAAAGCUAGUU
rnacentral:misc_RNA from 1 species